AUGUGGCUCGCUCCCGAAGACAUUCACUCUUCUGAAUCUAUUCCAAGCUGCACUGCCAAGAUGAAAGUUAAACUGCUUCAGAGAGAACUAAUAAGAUACUGGUGCUGGGAAUACUGGGCCUGGGUAUCCCAGAGGAACCUCUUCUCCCUAAAUGAAGAAGUUGAGGAAGGCUGCUUAUUCUUGUUGGGGAAAAUGAGCACUUCAGUUUUAUGCUCAGUGACAAGUUUGGCCAUGUCAGAGGACCGUCCAAAGGUCAGCAAGCUGGCUGCUGGCGAUGGGAUGCUCCCUCAGAAGCCAAAGUCUAUUACUGUGCCGUGGAAAUCCCCAGCUCACCUCUGCAGGACGAUUGCGUCUUCUCUCUGGAAGUUGUGGGUGUUGCAGGCUUUCUGCACCCUGCCCCCUGGGAGCCCGAUGCCGGCCAUUCAGCACUUCAUACUGUGGGGACCUGGGUCACGGCAGGUCGAAGGCUCUCUGGUAUUCUGAGCAUCCUCUGAUUCGCUUUCAUUUUCCUGUCGGGGGGUUGUGGUCUAGAGGAGAAAGACUAUUCUUGAAUUGGUUAAUCGUGCUAUUUUUCUUCCCUUCUCUGAUUUGAGUACAAAUCUCCCCGACAUCUUGCCUAAGGCUCAUGAUAAUGCCCAGAUAGCUUUUAUUUCCAAGUAAUAGCUCAUGCCAACAUCUGUAAAUAGGCUUCCUCUAAUCUUAGAUGUAUGACAUAUUUUUCAUAUUAAACAGAAUGUUGAAGUAUUCUUACCAUGAUAACUUUUCAGCUAAUCUUGAAUUUGUUCCAAGAACAAUGAUACUGUUCAAGGCUAGACACAUCCCCUCCAUCACCUGCUUAAUAAGAUAAUUUUCUUUAUCUGUAAAAAGGGAGGAUAUGGGUUUAAGUUUCAGCUGUGCCACUUAGCAGCAGUGACCUUGAGCACAUUGAGUGACCUCUAUGAAUUUCAGUUCCCUUCCCGGGUAUACCAGGUAUAUGAGAAUGACGAUAGUUACCUUCCUUGUAGGAUUAAGGUGAAGAGCAAAUGACACAUAUGAAUGUGCUUUGUAAGGCAUAAACUAUUCAGAUCUUCAGUUCAGUUCAGUUCAGGUGCUCAGUCAUGUCUGACUCUUUGUGACC
rnacentral:lncRNA from 1 species